rnacentral:rRNA from 1 species
CCUACGGGCGGCAGCAGUGAGGAAUCUUCGUCAAUGGACGGAAGGCUGACCCAGCCAUGCCGCGUGAGGGUCAGUGCCCUUUGGGCGUUAAACUUCUUUUGUGCGAGAGCAAUAAUGGUCACGUUUGGUCAGCCGAGCGUGCCGUAAGAUUACGAAUCAGCUACCUCCGUGCCAGCAGCCGCGGUCAUACGGUGGAUGCAAGCGUUAUCCGGAUUUAGUGGGUUUGAAGGGUGCGUGGGCUGGGAGGUAAGUCAGCGUGGAAAUGCCACCGCGCAAGGGGGUGAAGUGCCCUUGAUACUGCGUGGCUUGAAUGCGGAAGCGGUGAGAGGAAUGUGUGGUGUAGCGGUGAAAUGCAUAGAUAUCACACGGAACACCAAUUGCGAAGGCAGCUCACUAAUCCGCAAUUGACGCUGAGGCACGAAAGCGUGGGUAUCAAACAGGAUUAGAUACCCUAGUAGUC